CCAACCCCGCCGCUCGCACUCGCCUAACAGAAGCCGAGCUGAAAGCAUCAUCCGCUUUGAGCGCUUAGGCGCAGUGAUUACAUCCUCCCACAGAGAGAUAGAGAGACAGAAAGUCCUGUUAUUCGCCAGUCCUUUUUUAUUAUUUAGUAGAAGUUGCGUUUGUUGUAGAUUCCGGCGGUGCGUAAAUAGGACUUUUUUGUUUUCUUCUUUUUUCCUUCUCGUGUGGAAUUCCGUGUUGUUUUGUGACUUUGUGUGAAGAAAGGGGCUGUCUGUUCUGUGCACAGGGAGUGUUGGCUAUGCGUCCUGGCUCCAGUCUGCUAUGUUUUGCGCUGACGCCAAAACUGACAGACCGGUGCAGAAUUGAUUAAAAAACAGAGAAGCUCGGAUCAAAUGGCUGUGCUUCUCACAGCUGAAACGACACAAUGUUCCACUGACCCGAGGCAGAGGAGAGGAAUUUCACAAUCGGGCAGUAUUGUUGCUGUUUAUUUCACUGCCUUUUUACGGACAGAGGCAAUGGGAAAUGCUCAUUUCUUGUAAGGAAAGGGAAUAAUACUUAUUUUUUCUUCCCCCACUCCCCAAUCCCCGUCUUGAAGUGCACUUUUGUGAGAGGGAGAGGAGAUGAUUUGGUUCAUUUUCCUGCUCUCCAUCCUGGAUGGAGCUGUCUCUCAGCUACACUACUCCGUGCCAGAGGAGCAGGAACCUGGCUCCGUGGUUGGGAAUAUCGCAGAGGAUUUGGGGCUGGACAUUACCAAACUUUCCGCUCGCCGCUUCCAGACGGUGCCUAGUUCCCGGACACCGUAUCUGGAGGUGAACUUAGAGAACGGCGCGCUCGUGGUGAAGGAGAAAAUCGACCGGGAAGAAAUCUGCAAGCAGAGCACCCCGUGCCUAUUGCACCUGGAGGUGUUUUUGGAGAACCCGCUGGAGCUCUUUCGCGUGGAGAUAGAAGUGAUGGAUAUCAACGACAAUCCGCCCAGCUUCCCCGAGACUGACAUUUCCGUGGAGAUAUCGGAGAGCGCCAUCCCCGGGACCCGUUUCCCGGUGGAGAACGCCUUCGACCCGGACGUGGGCACGAACGCGCUCAGCACAUACGCCAUAACGAAUAAUAACUACUUCUACCUUGACGUGCAGACGCAGAGCGACGGGAACAAGUUCGCGGAGCUGGUGCUGGAGAAGCCUCUGGACAGGGAGCAGCAGGCGGUGCACCGCUACGUGUUGACGGCUGUGGACGGGGGCAUCCCGCAGCGCACCGGGACGGCUCUCCUGGUCGUUAAAGUUCUGGACUCGAAUGACAACGCGCCCACCUUUGACCAGUCCGUGUACUCUGUCAGCCUGCGGGAAAACUCUCCCGUUGGCACUCUGGUCAUCCAGCUCAACGCCACGGACGUUGACGAGGGACAAAACGGGGAAAUAGUUUAUUCGUUCAGCAGCCACAACGCCCCGCGGAUAAAGGACUUAUUCAACAUCGAUGCCCGGACAGGUAGGAUAGAGGUGGCGGGGGAGGUGGACUAUGAGGAGAGCAACACGCAUCAGCUUUACGUCCAGGCUAAAGAUCUGGGGGCUAACGCGGUUCCAGCGCACUGCAAAGUGCUGGUCAAACUCACAGACGUGAACGACAACACGCCGGAGAUCGGUUUCAGCACUGUGACCGAGUCCGUGAGCGAGCAGGACGCCCCGGGCACCGUGAUCGCACUUUUCAGCGUCUCGGACCGGGACGCUGGCGACAAUGGACACAUAAGCUGCGAGAUAUUAGGAGACGUCCCUUUCAAGCUCAAGUCCUCGUUUAAAAACUACUACACCAUCGUGACGGACGGCCCGCUGGACAGGGAGAACACGGACUCCUACACUGUCACCGUGGUGGCCAAAGAUAAGGGCCAGCCGUCGCUCGCCACCAGCAAGUCCAUCAAAGUGCACGUGUCCGACGAAAACGACAACGCGCCGCGCUUUACGCAGGCUGUUUAUGAUGUGUAUGUGACUGAGAAUAACGUGCCCGGCGCGUUCAUUCACGCUGUAAGCGCUCUGGACCCUGACAUGGGACAAAACGCUCUUAUUACCUACUCCAUAUUGGAGUGCGACAUACAGGGCAUGUCUGUGGACACCUAUGUGUCCAUAAACCAGGACACAGGCUACCUUUACGCGCUGCGCUCUUUUGAUUACGAGCAGCUGAAGGAGUUCAGCUUCAUGGUCCAGGCUAAAGACUCUGGCGCCGCCGAGCUCUUCUCCAACGCCACCGUAAAUGUCAUCAUAGUGGACCAAAACGACAACGCCCCCGCCGUGAUAGCCCCAAUCGGUAAGAACGGCACAGCCAAAGAGCACCUGCCGCGCUCCGCGGAGCCCGGGUACCUUGUGACGCGCAUCGUAGCCAUGGACGCGGACGACGGCGAGAACGCACGGCUCUCGUACAGCAUCCUGCGGGGCAACGAGAUGGGGAUGUUCCGCAUGGACUGGCGCACGGGGGAGCUGAGGACAGCCCGCAGGAUCUCUCCCAAGCGGGACCCGCAGGGUUACUACGACCUGCUGAUCGAGGUGCGGGACCACGGGCAGCCCCCACUCUCCUCCUCCGCGAGCGUGAGCGUGGUGUUGGUGGACAGCGUGGUGGAAGGCCGCAGCGGGGACCGAGGCUCGGCCUCUAAGGCCAAGGAGACCUCCCUGGAUCUGACCCUGAUCCUCAUCAUCGCCCUGGGCUCCGUGUCCUUCGUCUUCCUGCUGGCCAUGAUCGUGCUGGCCGUGCGCUGCCAGAAGGACAAGAAGCUCAACCUGUACACGUGCCUGAUGGCCGGCGACUGCUGCCUGUGUUGCAGCGCGUGCUGCAGCCGGCAGGCCCGCGGGCGCAAGCAGAAGAAGCUGAGCAAGUCCGACAUUAUGUUGGUUCAGAGCACCAACGUGACGUCAGGGGUCGGGCCCGUAGGCCAGGUGCCCGUGGAGGAGUCCGGGGUGGGCGGCGUGGGAGGGGGCUUCGGCUCCCACCACCACCAGAACCAGAACUCCUACUGCUACCAGGUGUGUCUGACGCCGGAGUCCGCCAAGACGGAUCUGAUGUUCCUGAAGCCGUGCAGCCCCUCCCGCGGAACGGACACGGAUCACGCCAACCCCUGCGGCGCCAUAGUCACGGGUUACAGUGACCAACAACCGGACAUCAUAUCCAACGGCAGUAUUCUUUCUAAUGAGACAAAACACCAACGAGCAGAACUCAGCUAUCUGGUGGACAGACCCAGACGUGUCAACAGUUCGGCUUUCCAAGAGGCCGACAUCGUCAGCUCCAAAGACAGUGGUCAUGGCGACAGCGAACAGGGCGACAGUGACCAUGAUGCCACUAACCGGGGUCAUUCGGCCGGCGCCGACCUGUUCUCUAACUGCACGGAGGAGUGCAAAGCCCUGGGCCACUCGGACCGCUGCUGGAUGCCAUCCUUUGUCCCGUCCGACGGGCGCCAGGGGCCGGACUACCGCAGCAACCUGCACGUCCCCGGCAUGGACGCCACGCUACCCGACACUGAGGUACCCUCCUCCGUCAACCUGUCCGACCAACUCAGCAUGACCGCGUCCACCGCCUCGGCCAACGAUAGGUCAUUCUCCACCUUUGGCAAGGAGGGUCAAAGGUCACAGUCACACCACAGCCUUCACCAUCACCUCCAUCAGCAGCAACAGCAGCAGUACAGCUCCAGCACGCUAGAGAGGAAAGAGUAUGAUAGGGGGACCCUACCGUACAAAGCCACCUUUCUCUGUGAGUAUCAGUAUGAAAGUUCCCUGGGACCCUACGACUUCGGUCUGGUCCAGUACAGGUACUAGAGGUGGGGAGGAUGAAUCUGAUCCGGACUUUUUAUGUUGUUCAUCAACUUUUUCUUUUUCUAUUUUUUUAAGUUAAAAAAAAAAAAACAGCUUUAUGUUUUUUGUUUUUUUGUGUGGAAAUUAUGAUUUAUUUUGUUGAAUGUAAAAUGUACGCUAUAUUGCUAACUCCCCCUUUUUAAAAACCCACUUUGAAAAAAAUCUAUCUAACCCCUUCCUAACCCUCAAUACUGUCUGUAAUGAUGUGACUCAUUAUAAAAUAAACACAAUUUAAAUUGGACCCAUGUUAAACUGCUGUGGCCCUUUUUCUUUUUCUUUUUUUUUUAUUACCUUUCUCUAAAUUUCCCCUCCAAAUCCUCUCCAAUCAGCCUUUUUAUAUCUGAUGCUCAUAUAAGUAAAGGUCACAGACACACGCACACUUCACAUUUGCAUGCCUGCCGUCUUCACACACACCCACAUUUGAAUGCCGUUCACGGUUUAAAACAUGAUUCCAGUGUAUAGAGAGGAAAUGGAAGCUAGAUCAUCUCAUGCUGUAAAGGACAUCUUUGUGUUUCCCCAUUUGCUCAACAACAUAGUUUAGCUCGAGCAUGAUGACUUCCCUACUGAAUAGCUCGAAAGGUGAAACACACAGCCCACGCUUCUUCUCUUUCACGAGGACUGAAGUCCGGUUUUGUGCUAACAAAGGAAGUGUCGAGUAUCUAUACUCGCCUGCUUGUGGAUCAAUACCUGACAUAAAGAAGGGUGGGUGGGUGAGGUGGGCUGUCAACACACGGGUCAAGAUUCUACAGUUGGAGGAGACACGACACACAGGUUUGUGUGACAGAAAGGAGAGAAACUGUAACUAUAUGAGGGAGCUCUCAUAUAGCAAAUGAAAUAUUUUCAAUAAAAAGGAGUUUCCAGCUUGCGUUUUCUAAAGGAGCAUGAUUUGGAAAUGAUGGCUGGACACUUCUUGCACAUGUCAAUUGCUUUCCCGGCACCCACAUUACAUGAAUAUUCUAUUAGCUCUAAGAGUAGAGAAUGGAUUCGAUAUACACGUUCAGUAGAGAAGUCAUUUCCAGUCAAGUCACCGCCAUGUUAACCACCAUCCUCCAUCAUACUGCAUGCAGACUGUGGGCUGUCUCUCAGCCCGCAAAAGGAUUUGCUAGCUCGUUCCAUGUGGACCUGUCGGAGACAGCGUGAGUUUCUGUGCUUAAGACCGCCAACACUGAUGCUGGAGAAGGCGACAUUGAACGACACAAACAGCAACCCGGACAGCAGCAACCUUGGUUAAGCUUCAUUAUCUUGUGUGGCGAACUGUAACAAAGCCUUGGCAGUGGUCGCCGAGGGGAGGAGAGGAGAACUAAAUACUGAGUAGCUGUAAACCACUAGAUAUCUGAGGAGCAAUCCAAGGCCUUAUUGCUCUCAGCAGGACUGAGACCGGGGCCCAAAAAAAACACUUGACAUGUGAACAUUAUAAAGUCAUCAGCAGACGUAUGAGAGGAAGCGAAAUGAACAGAGGAGUACAAAACAAGAAGAAGAGGGAGCGAUUGACUCACAGAGGUGGGUUGUGUUUCUUUUUCUGGACUGAGGAGUUAGCCUCUAGAGAUCUGUGUGUGCCUGUUUACAUGAAGAAAAAAAAACUAAUGUUUCUGUACAAACUUCAACCAAUGUCACACGGAACCCUUUAGCUAUUUCUAUGGUCACCACUUAGCCAACUGUACAGAGAUUGUGUGUGUGGGGGGGGGAAUGGAGACUGACAGCCAGAGAGACUGGGCGAGAGACAGACUAUUAGACAGAGAGAGGAGCAGGUGUUGUACAGGUAUAAAAUGACACAGGAAAAAAAAA